CAGUAAUGAAUAAAGAAAUAUAAACUAAAUUUUAUCUAAAUAAUAUUAUUAAAUUAAUUUAACUGUCAUUUUCAGAUCUAAAAUCAGAAAUUGAAAGCGUAAACAAAUUAAAAAAAUCUACUAUCGAACAUAUGUCUCCUAAUGCAAAUUGGACUUCAAUGUCUAUUGUUAAUUUAUUAAAGAAGGACAUUUAUGGAGAACAUAAUCACACAAAUCUUUUCGCAAAACCUUGUAUUACUGCUUAUUACAGCUAUUUGGUUUUUAAUGAUUAUGCAUGUUUUUAAUGAGAUAGAUCUUGGAAACUACCUGAAGAGUUCAAGGUCGUAUCUGAAGUGGCAUCUAAGAUAUCUGAACUCCCCUCAUCCAAUUUUAUCAAUGUCUUAGAAUUUUUUAAAAAUUAUUUUUGACGUUAGUCAUAAAUUAUUGUUGUUUUCAAAUUAAAAUUUAAUACUGAUCAUUAUAUGUGUUUAUAUUCUAUUUUAAUAUGCUACUUAAUGAAUAUUUACAAUAUGUAUAAUAAACAUUUAAUAAAUGCAAAAAUAAAGCAUUAAAUAAUUUAUAUUAA